rnacentral:rRNA from 1 species
GCGCGAAAACUUUACAAUGCUGGCAACAGCGAUAAGGGAACCUCGAGUGCCAGGUUACAAAUCUGGCUGUCGAGAUGCCUAAAAAGCAUUUCAUGGCAAGGGCCGGGCAAGACCGGUGCCAGCCGCCGCGGUAACACCGGCGGCUCGAGUGGUAACCGUUAUUAUUGGGUCUAAAGGGUCUGUAGCCGGCCGGAUAAGUCUCUUGAGAAAUCUGGCAGCUUAACUGUCAGGCUUUCAGGAGAGACUGUCUGGCUCGAGGCCGGGAGAGGUGAGAGGUACUUCAGGGGUAGGGGUGAAAUCUUGUAAUCCUUGAAGGACCACCAGUGGCGAAGGCGUCUCACCAGAACGGACCUGACGGCAAGGGACGAAAGCUAGGGGCACGAACC